UGCCAGCAGCCGCGGUAAGACGGAGGGUGCAAACGUUGUUCGGAAUCACUGGGCAUAAAGCGCACGUAGGCGGCGCAUUAAGUCAGGUGUGAAAGCCCCCGGCUCAACCGGGGAAUUGCAUCUGAUACUGAUGUGCUAGAGGACGGUUGGGGUGAGUGGAACUCCUGGUGGAGCGGUGAAAUGCGUAGAUAUCAGGAGGAACACCAGUGGCGAAAGCGGCUCACUGGACCGUACCUGACGCUGAGGUGCGAAAGCUAGGGUAGCGAACGGGAUUAGAUA
rnacentral:rRNA from 1 species